rnacentral:rRNA from 1 species
AGUGAACGCUGGCGGUAGGCCUAACACAUGCCAGUCGAACGGCAGCACAGUAAGAGCUUGCUCUUACGGGUGGCGAGUGGCGGACGGGUGAGGAAUACAUCGGAAUCUACUUUUUCGUGGGGGAUAACGUAGGGAAACUUACGCUAAUACCGCAUACGACCUACGGGUGAAAGCAGGGGAUCUUCGGACCUUGCGCGAUUGAAUGAGCCGAUGUCGGAUUAGCUAGUUGGCGGGGUAAAGUCCCACCAAGGCGACGAUCCGUAGCUGGUCUGAGAGGAUGAUCAGCCACACUGGAACUGAGACACGGUCCAGACUCCUACGGGAGGCAGCAGUGGGGAAUAUUGGACAAUGGGCGCAAGCCUGAUCCAGCCAUACCGCGUGGGUGAAGAAGGCCUUCGGGUUGUAAAGCCCUUUUGUUGGGAAAGAAAAGCAGCAGGUUAAUACCCCGCUGUUCUGACGGUACCCAAAGAAUAAGCACCGGCUAACUUCGUG